AGAAAAAACUUCACCUCCCCAUCAAGAUGAAUUGGAUAUCGCAGAUCACGCCGAUUUCUCCAAAUUAAAAUUACUUUUAUCAAAUGAUGUUGAGCAAAAUCCUGGACCUACCUAUCACUGUGAAUGGAAUAAUUGUGGAUUCAUCGGGCUAACAACAACUAGAAUGGGACAAC